AGGGUUGAAGCAAAAGGAAAAGGAGUCAGAGACGUGGCAUGUGAACUUGUCAACCUCUUUUGUAUUCAGGUUGUCCUGCUGAACCCUUCUUUGGAAGGGAAAAGUGCUGGGAGUGGGCUUGGAUGAAACCUGAAGCUGCCUAUUGGGGGUUAUAUCCAUAAGUGUGCUUCUGGAGGUGUCAGGAAGACCCUCACAGGAGACAUCACUUCUGCUUCCGGUCCCUUAGGACCCUCCUCUAACCUGCCUCCCAACUAUAUAAUGGCCAUGUUUUCUGUUGUAUCUCAGUUCUGUUUUAGACUCACGUCUGUAAAGACAUAUUGCUGAUUUAUUCCUUCAUUUUGCCAAGUGUAUGGUGUGGAAACCCCAGCACUUUACGAUUUGACAUCUCUUUAUUUUACAAUAAGCAUAUUUUCAUUUUAUCAUCCUUUGUGAUUUUUCUGUAUUUUGGUGUAACAUCAGUAGAGAGUAGUGUUUGUCACCUGUUUUUUUUCUGUUAGUGUCACUUUUGCUCUUCUGGUGGUAGCGUAUAAUUGUUAAGCCUGCAUUUUACUUAUUUAAAUGGACUGCUACAACCAUUCCUAUUGACUGGUAUUACCGCUGUAAACUCUGUAUUUUAAUUCACUAAAAACAUUCAGACCUUUUAACAGUAAGUGAUCUUGUUGAAGUAAAAAGACCACCCUGAGCAGUCUGAAAGGCUUUAUGCUGCAUAUCGCUGAAGAAGUCGCAGUGUAAAUGAUAUAUGAAGUACAAGUUCUUGGGGUGUGGGUUCUCCAGCCUCAUGCUCUUUGUAGUUUAUAAAUGCUCAAAGGAAAUAAACUGAUUUUUAAUCUCAUGCUAUAAUCAUGCUAUGCUCAAAAACUAAUUAAAUAUUAAUACAAGAUAAUUAUGAAACCUUUCCAGGAAAUAAACCAAGUGUUAAACCAAACGCUAAAAAUUACUGUCAAUAUUAGGCCACAAAUUAACAUUUCAAAGUGAGAAACUAAGCCAAAACGUUGGGAUAAAUGGAAGUUAAAAUACAAAUAUAUUAAAGACUGCAAUGCACAAACAGGAAUUGAAAGUAUUCUGCAGACAAUAAUCAUAUAAAUUGUAGUCCCCACAGCUUUUAUUACAUAUUGUUUUCUUCAUUGUAAUAUAAUGGCUUGGAUUAGAGCCAGCUUUUCAUGCAGAAAGGUAUCUUCAUUGCUACUGUUGUGUUGAUAGAUUUGGAAUUUAAUAAGGGAGCAGGAAAUCAAUACCUUAUUAAAGACAAGGACCUUGGCUUAUGUAUUCAAAAUUUUGAAAUAAAAUUAAGUUAAAGUUAAGGUUAAAGUUCAGAACAGGAUUUCAUUAACAUUUACUGUCAAAAUUCUAACAAGAUAUGAUUAGGCAAUAAUACAACUUUAACAUAAUUUUCCAUCCACCCCCCAAUUUUAAUGCAUUUUGAAAUUAAAUCAGGGUGAUAUGAUGCUGGAAUGUCAGCAAUUAGCUCAGAGCAAAACAAUUAAAAAGAUGAAACUCAAGCGCAUUGCUUGUUUUGGGCUGUUUAUUUCGGUAAUUAAGGGCAUAUACAUUUCGGACAGAAGUCAAGAGACAGUUUUUCAUGAGUCUUCGUAAUCUGGAACUCCUACUGACUCC